CUCCCCCGCCGGCUCCGGGCUAGGGGAAGGCGGGGCGGGCGUCCUUGAGGGAGAAGAAGGUCCGCAGCUUGAGGUCGAAGCCCGGGGGCCGGCGGUGGGGCUCGGUGUAGUCGCUCGGCAUCUCCCGGCCCAGGUGAUGUCUUGUCAGAGAUAUGUAUGAUCAGAAAAUUGUCCUGAAGUUAUUUGCAAGAAUCACAGAAUUCCUAGGUUGGAAGAGACCUCAAGAUCAUCGAGUCCAACCUCUA